AUGAAGGAGAGCCCACAGGAGAGGACCUGGGGCCCAUGCAGCGCUUGUGAGCUGCCCCGGGCUGCUGCUGCCCUGGCCUACUGUUCCCAGACUCAGAACAGAACUGGUUUUCGUCACUUUCUCCCUCUGCCACCACCACUGAAACUGCUCUCACUUCUGCUCUUCCUUGUGUUCAACCUCAGUCGGGCUUUUCUGUCUGCAGCUGCCCGGCCUCCCAGCCCAAGCCACCACCUGGCUCCCAGGUGGCCACUUCUGCCGGCUGCUGCUGGGUGUCCGGCCUUGGCGGGGCUCCUUGUCUGCCUGCGGCCGCCGUGCUGCCUUUCUCCACUGUGUCCAGGCCUUCCUGCCCUCCCACCAUCCCACUCUACACCUCGUCUUCAAUGCCACCCGCAUGCAGGUGGAUCUCUACCCCAGACCCCUGUUAGGGGUCAGAGCACUGUGGUCAAUGGCCUUGUGUUCCUCAGACACCUGGAAUGCCGCCUCUCUCUCUCUCUCUCUCGCUCCCGCUCUCUCCUGUCCACUGUUCCUCCUGUAACGAACAGAAGGGAGCGAGCAUUCAUGUGGAACCUGAGGCUCACCCUCACCUCUCUUUCUCACCUCUCCACCCACCCAACGCUGUGUUCUGUCUCCCGGCCAUCCACAUCUUUCCAUUGCACCUGCCAGCCUCUGGCUGGUCUGUGUCCACUCUGGGCACCAGCAGAGUGGCUUAAGACCCUUCAAUGGCCGGCGCCGCGGCUCACUAGGCUAAUCCUCCGCCUAGCGGCGCCGGCACACCGGGUUCUAGUCCCGGUCGGGGCGCCGGAUUCUGUCCCGGUGGCCCCUCUUCCAGGCCAGCCCUCUGCUGUGGCCCGGGAGUGCAGUGGAGGAUGGCCCAGGUGCUUGGGCCCUGCACCCCAUGGGAGACCAGGAAAAGCACCUGGCUCCUGGCUCCUGCCAUCGGAUCAGCGCGGUGCGCUGGCCGCAGCGCGCCGACCACGGCGGCCAUUGGAGGGUGAACCAACGGCAAAGGAAGACUUUCUCUCUGUCUCUCUCUCUCACUGUCCACUCUGCCUGUCAAAAAAAAAAAAAAAAAAAAAAGACCCUUCAAUGGCUCCCCAGCACCCUCGGGGCAAAAUCCUCAUGGCGUAG
rnacentral:lncRNA from 1 species